rnacentral:rRNA from 1 species
GGAUAACCGCUGAAAGCAUCUAAGCGGGAAGCCCACCCCAAGAUAAGGCCUCCCAUGGGGUCAACCCAGUAAGGGCACGGGAAGAACACCCGUUUGAUGGGCUGGAGGUGGAAGCCCAGCAAUGGGUGGAGCUGACCAGUCCCAAUCGCCCGAGGACUUGACUGU